rnacentral:rRNA from 1 species
GGCUGAGUAACGCGUAGGUGACCUACCCGGAAGUGGGGAAUAACUGCCCGAAAGGGUGGCUAAUACCGCAUGUGAUCGGUGAUUCGAUUCACCGCUUAAAGGAGUAAUCCGCUUCCGGCGGGGCCUGCGUUCGAUUAGCUAGUUGGUGGGGUAACGGCUCACCAAGGCGACGAUCGAUAGCUGGUCUGAGAGGAUGAUCAGCCAGACUGGGACUGAGAACGGCCCAGACUCCUACGGGAGGCAGCAGUCGGGAAUUUUGCCCAAUGGACGAAAGUCUGAGGCAGCAACUCCGCGUGAGGGACGAAGGCUCUAGGGUCGUAAACCUCUUUUCUCAGGGAAGAUCCAAGACGGUACCUGAGGAAUAAGCCACGGCUAACUACGUGCCAGCAGCCGCGGUAAUACGUAGGUGGCAAGCGUUGUCCGGAUUUACUGGGCGUAAAGAGCGCGCAGGCGGCUGGUCAAGUCCGAUGUGAAAUCUCCCGGCUCAACUGGGAAACUGCAUCGGAAACUGAUCGGCUUGAAGGUGGGAGAGGGUAGUGGAAUUCCCGGUGUAGUGGUGAAAUGCGUAGAUAUCGGGAGGAACACCAGUGGCGAAGGCGACUACCUGGCCCAUUCUUGACGCUGAGGCGCGAAAGCUAGGGGAACGAACGGGAUUAGAUACCCCGGUAGUCCUAGCCGUAAACGAUGAACACUAGGCGUAGUCGGUAUCGACCCCGGCUGUGCCGUAGCUAACGCAUUAAGUGUUCCGCCUGGGGAGUACGGCCGCAAGGCUAAAACUCAAAGGAAUUGACGGGGGCCCGCACAAGCAGCGGAGCGUGUGGUUUAAUUCGUCGCAACGCGAAGAA